rnacentral:rRNA from 1 species
AGUGAACGCUGGCGGUAGGCCUAACACAUACAAGUCGAACGGCAGCACAGUAAGAGCUUGCUCUUACGGGUGGCGAGUGGCGGACGGGUGAGGAAUACAUCGGAAUCUACUUUUUCGUGGGGGAUAACGUAGGGAAACUUACGCUAAUACCGCAUACGACCUACGGGUGAAAGCAGGGGAUCUUCGGACCUUGCGCGAUUGAAUGAGCCGAUGUCGGAUUAGCUAGUUGGCGGGGUAAAGGCCCACCAAGGCGACGAUCCGUAGCUGGUCUGAGAGGAUGAUGAGCCACACUGGAACUGAGACACGGUCCAGACUCCUACGGGAGGCAGCAGUGGGGAAUAUUGGACAAUGGGCGCAAGCCUGAUCCAGCCAUACCGCGUGGGUGAAGAAGGCCUUCGGGUUGUAAAGCCCUUUUGUUGGGAAAGAAAAGCAGCAGGUUAAUACCCCGCUGUUCUGACGGUACCCAAAGAAUAAGCACCGGCUAACUUCGUG